rnacentral:rRNA from 1 species
AACUAACGCUGGCGGCGUGCCUAACACAUGCAAGUCGUACGAGAAAGCCGGCUUCGGCUGGUGAGUAAAAUGGCGCACGGGUGAGUAACGCGUGGAUAAUCUGCCCUUAAGUGUGGAAUAACGUACCGAAAGGUGCGCUAAUACCGCAUAAUGCCUGGCAACACAAGUUGUCCGGCCAAAGAAGGCCUCUGUUUACAAGCUUUCGCUUCAGGAUGAGUCCGCGUACCAUUAGCUUGUUGGUGGGGUAAUGGCCUACCAAGGCUGCGAUGGUUAGCUGGUCUGAGAGGAUGAUCAGCCACACUGGAACUGAGACACGGUCCAGACUCCUACGGGAGGCAGCAGUGAGGAAUACUUGCGCCAAUGGGGGCAACCCUGACGCAGCAACGCCGCGUGAGUGAGGAAGGUUUCGGACUGUAAAGCUCUGUCGAGCGGGAAGAAGUGUACCAUGGCUAAUAUCCAUGAUAUUUGACGGUACCGCUAGAGG